rnacentral:SRP_RNA from 1 species
GUGUGGGCCCUGUGCGACAGAACGCUGUGAAUCAUGUCAGGCGGGGAACCGAGCAGCAUUAAGCGGAUUGUUCUGUGCGCCGCAGACAAGUCUGCAUGGU